UUUUUUUUUCUUUUUUUUUUUUUUAAAUGCACAGCAUUGGUAGGAAAAUGUAGAACUCCUACAAUAAUACAUGCAGUAUUUAGAUUGGACAACACUCCCUACUCUGUUUAUGGUGAUUUGCUGACUUUCUCCUUUGCUUUUCCCUGCUACUGAAGCAUCAAGUCUCGGGCAUUUUCCCAGUGUAAUUGUUGAUUAAGUGCUGCAUAUCCUGCGAUGAUUAUGAGAAGAUUACUGUAUUCAGCUUUUAAUCUUGUGAGUGUCAAAUAUUUUACUUCAAUGGUAUCUUUAUUAUUAUUAUUAUUCAUAGCUCUUUCUGUCUGAGUAAUGCAAUCAGGCAAAAUAAAGGUAAUACCACAAAUUCAGCAUUUUAGGAAUAAUUCUUUGUCUCAAAAUAUUAAGUGCCAUCUGCAGGCGGUUCUCAGAUGCUGAUUGGGAUCUGCAGAGAUGGAAUUAGGAAUGUCCUAGACAAGUAAUGGAAAGCAACCAGGUCAAGAAGAAAUAUGUAAAGAUAGAGACCUAUGGGCGGCAGUACGGAGGGUCUGUCUGGUCCCCGAGGCCAGGCAUGCAGCUGGGAAGCCUCAGGACUGGCCACCAGGAGGCUUCCAGGAAUGCAGGCAGCGCUUGUCUUCCUCGCUGCUUCUUCCUCUGAGUUCUCAGUAUUUUCUCUAAUGCUGUGCGUAAGGUGGCCAGUGGUCAUUUGUAGCUUUCAAAGUAAAUAUCCUCUGUAGAUGAGAGUAGCCCGGGUAGACUGGCCCUCUUUCGGUCUCAAUUCCCAAUUCCCAGGAGCAGCGGGAAUGCUGAUUGGCCAGACUGUAGUCAUAUGACCCCUGCAUCCCUGGAUGAAAGCAUCUCCUGGUCCUGGACAUUCUGCCGUGUUGCUAAGUGGCGUUUUGUUGGUAUUCCUUUCCUUAAUUGAGCGAGGUUAAAGGUCAUUUGUUUUUCUUCCUCUGUGUAUUUCUUGCUGGUGCCCUCUGCUCAUUUUCCCCCCCUGAAUUUUCCUUUUUCUUACGGCACCUUGUUCUCCAAAGAGAUGAUGACUCACGUGCCAGUCCAUCCCGCAAGCGGGAAUAUUUUAGCCAGGACGGAGAUCUGCUGGAUGUUUUACGGAGAAGUCGGAAUAUACAAGAAAAGGCCCCGUGUCAGCUGCAGAGGCCGGCUUGGUUUCCCUGGUCCCUCUCCUCCUCCCUAGUGAUGUUGGGAUGGGGGUCAUGUCAGGUUCCUCAACAAGCCUCAGACUCAGUCUUUUGAUACUUAGUAGGGACCCAGUAGUGGGGCUUGACCAAUUUUUGCCGGAUGAGCAAAGGAGAGAACAGGGCAUCGUGGGACAUGGUUAUCUUUGGGAUCAACUAGUCCUCUAGAUACUGACCUGGGUUCAGGUCCUCUUGGCUCCAGAAUUUACAAGCCAUGUGAACGUCUCUGGACCACAGUUUCUUCCUCUAUAAAAUGGGAAUGAUAAUAAUACUGAUGUUGUGAGCAAUAGAAGGAACAUAGUGAAGUACCUAACACAUGACAGGUUGUCAAUACCCGCUUUUAGAAUUAGUAUCACUGUUAAAAUCAGGACUGCCGUUAUUACCAUCGCCAUAAACUGAUUGAGUGACUGUAGGGACAUGGGCUAGACUUAAACAAUCGAUUCAUGCAUGGGAUGAUCGUAUUCUGUUGGACUAAGACUUCAUGGACCUGUUACAGGGGAUGCAGUUUGGUCUGCAGACCAUCUGCGUCUUUGCAGUAAAAGCUUAUUUGCACCCACGUCAAUUUCAUUGUCUUGUGAUCAUCAUUUUCCUAUAGGCUCUGAGCCUCUUUUGCUAGAUACAAUAUACAAUGCCUCACCAGUUUUCUGGCCUUGAAAGGGAGAGUGACUUGAAGGUACUCUACUUGAAUUCUUAGUGGGAAGGAUGUAAAAACUCUCCUCCUCAUCCGGCCUGCUCUAAGAAAUCUGAUGGAAGCCCCCUCCCAAGCAAAAGAAAGGAAGGAAGGAAGAUCUCUUUGCAUCCCUUAAACCCAACUUAUGAAAUUAACAAAGGAAGAUGAAUAGACCGAAAUAAGACUCCCAGAGAAGAGAAGCGGGCCUCCUAAUUGAUUUCCCACAAAGCUGCUGGUUUUUUACAACUAGGAAAAUUGCCUGCUUGGAGGUACCAGUUCAGCUGUCUGGUUCCGCUGGCUUCACAGGAAACCGUCACUGCGCCUGGCUCGAAAAGCUCUUAGAAGGAGGAAAGUAGAGUGAAUUACAUCUGCCUGUUUAACACCAUCUCAUUCAUGGAUUUCUGCCUUUUCCCCCAGUUGAUCAUUCGCAGUCUCUUUUUUAGUAUAUAAUUGUUCAUUUUAAAUUUUCAUGUUUGCUAUAGCUGGGUGUAUGUUAAUUACCAGCAGUCUGUAAUUAUGCUGUCUAUUUGUCAUAUCCAUGGCGGCAAGGGUAGUAAGCUAGAAUUCUUCCGGUAGCAAGGAUUUUCAUUUUUAAUUCCAUCCCCCCAAACCAUUUAGAAAUGGAUACGUUUCACUCACACUGUUGUUGUGGUUGGGUAAAUGCCAUGUUAUUGAUGUUCAUUAUCAGGUUUUAAGCUCAGAGAUGCCACUCUACUCAGCGAUACUCAAGAUUUUGAUUUAUUCAUUCAGCCCACAAUCACUUAUUCAGCACCCACAGCACCCUAGGUGCUUGAGCUAUAUCUCUGAAUAGAACAGACAAAAAUAAAAUACCCCGCAGUUCUCUGUGUAACCUAAGGACUGCCCGGCUGAGCCCUAAAGCCACUAGGCUGGUGGCAAUGAGUGUGUGUCCCCUAGGCUGCUGAACACUUGUCCAUUCCCAGCACUGUAAUAAUGAGGCAUGUGGUAAGAAGUUAGAAGCUACUGGCAAUUAAAGUUAUUAUUUCACAUUAAAGUCUCCUUGUAUGAUAUUAGCAGCUGAGACAUACAUGGAAAACAUAAUAAUUUAAAGAUCAUCAGAUUACUUCCAGACAACCCCAAGAUUUGUGUACAAAUUAAAUUAGAGGUGCAUCAAGGUGAUCCAGUCAAGAAAUUGAGGGCUGGGAUCAGGGAGUGUGUGCUUGCUGUAUGGACGAAGUAAACAGAGUGACUGUUGACGCUGCCCGGAGCCCAUUCCUCGAAGGGAAGUCCCAGCACCCUGGAUUGAAAUUGACCCCUGGGAAUGAUCCCCAAGAUGGGGCUGUUCUGGUGCCAUGAGAAUAGACGCAUGGGGACUUGGGAAGUGUCUAGAGUGGCGUUAAAGACUGAAUGAAACUGACGUCAGAGAGGGUCCUGCUGGUGGAUGAUCCUUAGUAGAGAAGGGAUCUGAGGGAAGUUAGGCAGUUGGAAAGACUCUAUUUAAAAAAGCAUAUAACAGAGUACCUGUUGUGGCUCAAUGAAAACGAACCCAACUAGUAUCCAUGAGGACUUGGGUUUGAUCCCUGGCCUCGCUCAGUAGGUUAAGGAUCCAGGGGUGCUAUGAGCUGUGGUGUAGGUCACAGAUGUGGUGCAGGUCACAGACAAGGCUCAGAUCUUGUGUUGCUGUGGUGUAGGCCAGCCGCUGUAGCUCCUAUUCGACCUCUAGCCUGGGAUCCUCCAUAUGCCUCGGGUGUGGCCAAAAAGGCAUAUAACUGAGUUCCCCACGGUUAUUCAGCAAUUUUUUUUUUUUUUAGUACUUAAAGAAGUGCUAGUGUGUGAACAAAGAGGCCCUGUCUGUGUGGUACAUCCGUUUCAGGGGAGGAAGCAAGACAGACAGAUGGACAGAUAGCCAAAUAUGAUGUGAUAUAAUGUAAUUGCUUACCGUUAUGUGUGCUGCAGAGAAUUAUAGAUCGGGGUAAAAGAGUACAGUGAUCAAGAUGUUUUCUCUAAAAUCCUUUCUGCACUUUGCUAGUUCUUCUCAAUAUGAAAAGAAAACAUUGGCGGGAGGAGUAGUCAGGUGUUGUUCCUUUGGGUUUUUUUGGUUUGGUUUGGUUUUCCCCAAAAUCAAUACAGGGCUUUUCCUGCAUCUUUAAAAUAUUACAAAUAGGUCUUAGGAAUCAUCUGGCAUCUUGCUGUUUCUGUAGCUGGACAACUUAGAUCUUAUUCAUCCCCUGCUAAAUCCGUCCUUUGGCAGAGAUGUAGAUACUAUCUAAAAUGUUGCUAAAUCCUUGUUUUCAGCUCUUGUGGCUUGCUGAAUCAAAGGAGCUGAAUUGGAUCCAAGUUUAAUGUCAUUUUCUUUGAGAACUAACUCACCUUUCUGGGCUUGAGAAACUGAACAAGGAAUAUUUGGCCUCAUCUGAACCCGGAGCAUCUAUUUUUGCCCAGGAAAUUUUGGAUUUCAGCAAGAGGCCUGUUCUGAAUUAACAGCAUUGACGGGGAAGUGAGCAUACGUGGACCUCAUCUUGUCAUGGAAGCCCUGCAUAACACUCUUAGUGUGUUCUGUACAUGAUACACAUGGUGUGAAAAGUAGCCAGUUUCUUUCUAUUUCCCCACCAUGUGUCAACCUGGAGCCUCUUUUUCUUUCCAAGAAAACUGAGUUCUACACUCAUGUGACUCAUGUCCAUCUAAAAGUUUCCUCAGGAGCUCUUCAAAGUCAAGUCCACAUUUUCUGAUUGCUGAGACUGGUUUUCAUUCUUGCAGUAGAUGCAUGAAAUGGCAGUUUUGUUUUUUAAUAAACCUCUUGAGAUAAUUAUAGGUUCAUAGGCAGCUGUAAAAAAUAAUACAGAGAUCCUGUUUCUCCUAAUGGUAAUCUCUUGCACAACUGUAGUGUAAUAUAUGUAUAACCUGACAUCUGUAUCUGCAAAAAAUAUCUUGCUGGAGUUUUGAUAGGGAUUGCAUUAAGCCUAUAAAUCAGUUUGGGGACAAAGGACAUCUUUACUGUGUUGAGUCUUGCAAUCCAUGAAUAGCAUAUGCCUUUCCAGUUAUUUAGAUCUUCUUGGAUUUUUCUCAUUAGCAUUUUUGCAGUUUUCAACAUGCAACUCCUAUACAUGUUUUGUCAUGUGUGCACCCAAGUAUUUCAUUUUUCUUGAACAAUUGUAAAUGGUAAUUAUUUUUAAAUUUUUGGUGUCUGCUCAUUCAUUGCUAGCAUGUAGGAAUACAGUUGAUUUUGUAUGCUUUUCUUGUAUCCUGAGACCUUGGUGAAUGCACCUAAAUUCUAGGACAUCUUUUUGUACAUUCUUUGGGAUUUUAUAUGUAGACAGUCCUACACAUAAGGAUAGUUUUCUUUCUUCCCUUUUGAUCUCUAUGCCUAUUUCAUUUUCUUGCCUUAUUGCACUGGCUAGAACCUCCAGCACUAUGUUAAAUGAGACUGUGAGAGCAGACUUCCUUGUCUUGUUCUCAGUCGUAGGAAGAAAGCAUUCAGUCUCUUUCCUCAUUAAGUCUAAUGUUAGCUGCGGGAUUUUUUGGUAGAUGCUCCUUGAUGUACAAGUUGGGUAAGUCCCUUCUAUUCCUAAUUUGCUGAGCAUUUUUAUCAAAAUCAGAUGUUCUAUUUUUCAUAGGUUUUUUUUCCUAUGUCAUUUGUCAUGCAUCAUUAGGAUCAUGUGGUUUUUCUUUUGUAGUCUAUUGAUAUGGUGGAUUAGUUGAUUGACUUUUGAAUACUGAACCAGUCUUGCAUCCCUGCCUGAAAUAAACCCCACUUGGUCAUGGUGUAUAGCUCUAUUUAAAUAUUCCUGAAUUAGAUUUGUUAAUAUUUUGUUAAUUUGGUCUGUACCUUGCCUUUUUUGUACAGCCCUUAGCCGGUCUGCUUUCUUAUCUCCACCAUUCAGUCUUUUUACCUUUCUUAUAUUUAAUGUCCAGCAUUUGUAGUUGUAUUUAACGGGAAGGUGAGGGGAACGUACACCUAUUCCAUUUCCUCAAAGCAGAAGUCCUCUCAGAUGGUCAACUUUUAGGCAUACUUUUAAACAGCUAUGUUAAUUUAGUACAGGAAGAAAAGAAAAUCCUGAAUUGAGGUCUUGAUGAAAAAACAUUCUUCCAGGUUACCAGUUGGACUUGCUUGAUUCUAAAAGAAGCUGAACCAAGAGAUUGAGGCUAAGCAAAAAGGUGUAACCACAUCAGCUCUUCAGUAUCGCUUUCUGGACUGACUUCCCAGCAGAAAAAGACCCUUCUAUUAGGGUCACCAGAGUGUCACGGCUAUCAUACAGGUUCUUACCCAGCAGAUCGGCACACACUGAGAGAAGCAUUUUGAUGCACUUCAGUCUGCUGUUGUGCUGAUGGCAUUCAUUUAAAUUGUAUUUCUUACAAGCUGUUGGUAAUAGCAGAUGUUUACAGAAAGGUGCUAUAGGCACUACUGCUUGCUUUCAUUUACCUAUCACAGUUAUUUGCUAAGUGACUGUGUGUCAGAGGGGGCCUGAAACAUAGGCCAAGGGGCUUGUCUUCUCUUGGAGGCAGCUGAUGAUGACUGGUCAAGGAGAUGAGUUCUCAGAGGGCCAGCGAGAGUCUCUUCGGCACCAAAAGAGCUCGCAUUCUUUCCUUUCAAUGGUUAGUUCAUCUUUCAGCCUUUCUGAUGAUUUCCAAGAAACACGGCACAGGGGAAGAGGUCACAGAGAUCCAAUGGGGGAAUCGAUAAGCCACGAGGCUCUAAUAGCCCCUGGUUUCAAAGGUCCCUCUCCUGGUGAAGUUUUCAAAACAGCAGGUAUUUCUUUCCAUUCUCCUCUUAUCUUUGCUGGUUUCCUUGGGCAAAUAUUUGCACGUACCUACUGUGGGUGCAAUGAUUGAGUAAGAACUAACCCCUGCUCUCAAGGCGUGGCAGGCAGAGCGGGUACAAAUGGCCAUAGUUCGAGGGUCCCCAGGGAGCAGACACAGGGCCAUCAAAGGUCACAUGUAGGCGACUUGGCUUUCCGCUGGUGGAAUUUGAGCUGGUGCUUCAAGAGUAUGAGGAUUUCAGCCGUUGGGGGUUGGGGUGGCACGGCUGGCAGUGGGGACUGGGUGGGCUCAGAGGGGGAGGUGUCCGCACAUCCAGGGAAUGCCGCACAGAGCAGCGCUUUCCUCACCAGUGCUCACCUGGCCAGCCCUCGAAAAUAAACAUCUUUUCCCCACACAACCACGAGAACCAUAAUGUCUCCCCACUGACAGUUUUCCUUCCACUUCUCCGAAAGUGGGCUGUGGUCAUCCCCCCAUUCAUUGGUGCCCUUGAGUUUAGACUUCAAAAUGUGCCUGCCCGUCUAGCGGUGUGAGUUGAAUUGCACCCCCCACAGCAUAUGUUGAAGUCCUUACCCCGCUUCCAUCCUCCCCCUGCCCCAGUUACCUGGGAAUGUGACCUUAUGGGGAAACAGGGUCUUUACAGAUGGAGUCAGUUUGCAUCUUGUCAUCAAGAUGAGGCUGUGAGGAUGGGCCCUGAUCCACUGUGCCUGGUGUCCUUAUUAAAAAAGGGAAAUUUAGGCCCAGACGCACCUGGGAAGAACUCCAUGAUUUGGCUCUCUAGCCCCAGAACUAUAAGACAGUCCAUUCCUGUUAUCUUAAGCUACCCAGUUUGUGGUUCUUGGUUAGGGCAGCCCUAGAAACUAACACGCCUGGUUUAUACCCAACACUGCUCUGGGGGAAUUGGACUACGAUUCUACCCAGACGGCCUCAGGUUGUCGGGAAAGUUCACGUGUGCCUGUUGAGGUCACAUCAGUGGCUAAUAGAUGCUCUUUGCUGGGGGUAUCUGAUCACCAGAGGGGGUCCUCGGUUUUCUGGCUGACAGGCUGAGGUCGCUGGGAUCCUCCUGGAGGACAGUGAGGUGGUGCCAGAGGGUGAAGUAAGCAGGCAGAGCCAAUGGUGAUGUGGUUCCCAUUAAACACUUGGGGUAGACAGGAAACCAAGGGUUUGAGGGCAAAAGACUUGGGUGGACAUUUAUUCCAGCUCUUCCUCCUGCCAGAUGAUCAGCUGCCCUGGGAAGUGUCCUGUGACCCAUCCAAGGCCACUCUGCUACUAAGAGUCAGGACUUGAAUUCGGACUUCAAAUCUCACACCCCCACACCUAAGAUUUCUGAAGGAACUCUAGAAUCUGUGGUUUUGACUUUGGAACGUUUGGGGUGGGCCAAGAAUUUUAACUUGAUAUGACUGACUCUUCUUUAUUUACUGGGGCAGGGGAAAGGGAUUUUUUUUUUUUUAAAGAAUUGAAAAAGGGGAACCCGUUGACCUUCAGCAAAGGGAUUUGAAAGACUAAGUUUAUGCAACUUUAAAAUAGAAGUCCCAAGGGUAUUUAGUUUUACUCUGUUAUUGGAAAAAAAAAAAAA
ensembl:lncRNA